UUUUUUAAAUAAAUUGAAAAUUUCCCAAAAUCGUGAAUUAUAACAUCAUUAUUAUUUGAUGAUACUUUUGGAAGUACAAGAAGAAAAUGUUUAUGAGAAACAGGUAUUAAAUAAAUUUAUUAAAAAUCAAGUUAAUCCUUUGCACUCCAGGCUUGUUUCGCUCGGUCGAAUCAACAACUCCAGACUCAGACCCACGCAUUCG